rnacentral:tRNA from 1 species
GCCUGGGUGGCUCAGUCGGUUGAGCGUCCGACUUCGGCACGGUUUGUGGGUUCAAGCCCCGCGUCGGGCU